AGUGAACGCUGGCGGUGGGCCUAACACAUGCAAGUCGAACGGCAGCACAGUAAGAGCUUGCUCUUACGGGUGGCGAGUGGCGGACGGGUGAGGAGUACAUCGGAAUCUACUUUUUCGUGGGGGAUAACGUAGGGAAACUUACUCUAAUACCGCAUACGACCUACCGGUGAAAGCAGUGGAUCUUCUGACCUUGCGCGAUUGGAUGAGCCGAUGUCGGAUUUGCUAGUUGGCGGGGUAAAGGCCCACCAAGGCGACGAUCCGUAGCUGGUCUGAGAGGAUGGUCACCGACACUGGAACUGAGACACGGACCAGACUCCUGAGGGAGGCAGCAGUGGGGAAUAGUGGACAAUGGGGGGAAGCCUGAUCCAGCCAUACCGAGUGGGUGAAGACGGCCUUCGGGUUGUAAAGACCUUUUGUUGGGAAAGAAAAGCAGCAGGUUAAGACGCCGCUGUAGUGACGGUACCCAAAGAAUAAGCACCGGCUAACUUCGUG
rnacentral:rRNA from 1 species